rnacentral:lncRNA from 1 species
CAAGUUGGAUGUGAGCGAGUCUCUGGAACUUGCUUGACCAUAAAUAAUGCCACAGGAGAAGUGGGGAAGGCUCCGACCAGGGCCUCGCUCCUGGAGGCCAGCCUCACUGGGCUCUUUCCGAUGGUGUGUCCUGCUCCCCAGGCUCAUGUGCAGGGCCUUCUGUCCUGCGUAGAGCCCUGCACAGCCUCAGGAGUGUGCAGAAAGCCCCACCCAUGCAACUGCCCGCCCAGCUACCCCUCACCCGUCCUCGGCCUGCAGAAAGCUCAGUUUGUGAGAUGGAAACCAGCUCUUCCCCCCUCCCGGGGCCAGAGGGGACUAAGUCCUGAGACCUUCUCUGCAAUCUGCUGGAACUCUGUGGAGUCUGUUACAGAAUCUUGCAAUGGCCACCUGCCCUAGUGACUGCAGCCUGGAGCACCAACAGGGUGGACAGGGGAGAGGCAUGAGGAUCACAGGGCACCCGGAGCUCUCCGCCCAGAGCAGCCUCCAGGGAGUGGGAGAGUGUGGUUAUAUCAGAGAGGACAUAUGAAUCAAGGCUAAGUCACGUAACCACAUCUGUCCAACAAAGUAUCAUACGAACCCGGUGCACCCUGUCUACCUGAAGAAUUUCUUUAUCCGAUGGGAUUAGGUUUGAAAAUCAGCCAAUUUCUGUAAUCAUUAAAAAAGACAGAUCAACCUGAAAAUUGUAACUUUCACUGUAUCUAUCUUUUGGUGUAUGAGAGGUUUUUCUUCCUGAAGUAGAUAUUUCCAUGUCAUCAUUCUUGAAUGAUAGUCAUAAAUUACCAACUGUAAAUUCCGCUUGCCAUUGGUCCUGUGACUUUCAAGUGCCUGUUAAGUCCUGUGCCCCAGCCAACCUCGAAGAGGUACCCAGACCUCGCCCAUUUCUCAAUCUUUCAGCUCUGCCCCUUCGGUCCAGAAAGAACGGAGCUCCUGCCCAGCCUCCU